rnacentral:rRNA from 1 species
GACGAACGCUGGCGGCGUGCUUAACACAUGCAAGUCGAACGGAAAGACCCUGCUUUUGUGGGGUGCUCGAGUGGCGAACGGGUGAGUAACACGUGAGUAACCUGCCCUUGACUUUGGGAUAACUUCAGGAAACUGGGGCUAAUACCGGAUAGGAGCUCCUGCUGCAUGGUGGGGGUUGGAAAGUUUCGGCGGUUGGGGAUGGACUCGCGGCUUAUCAGCUUGUUGGUGGGGUAGUGGCUUACCAAGGCUUUGACGGGUAGCCGGCCGGAGAGGGUGACCGGCCACAUUGGGACUGAGAUACGGCCCAGACUCCUACGGGAGGCAGCAGUGGAGAAUAUUGCACAAUGGGCGGAAGCCUGAUGCAGCAACGCCGCGUGCGGGAUGACGGCCUUCGGGUUGUAAACCGCUUUCGCCUGUGACGAAGCGUGAGUGACGGUAAUGGGUAAAGAAGCACCGGCUAACUACGUG